rnacentral:tRNA from 1 species
UCUAAAAUGGCAGAUUAGUGCAAUGAAUUUAAGAUUCAUAAAUAAAAUUUUUAAAUUUUUUUUAGAA